GGGGAAUCUUGCGCAAUGGGCGAAAGCCUGACGCAGCAACGCCGCGUGCGGGAUGACGGCCUUCGGGUUGUAAACCGCUUUCGACAGGGACGAAAUUGACGGUACCUGUAGAAGAAGCCCCGGCCAACUACGUGCCAGCAGCCGCGGUAACACGUAGGGGGCGAGCGUUGUCCGGAUUUAUUGGGCGUAAAGAGCUCGUAGGCGGCUCGGUAAGUCAUCUGUGAAAGCUCCAGGCUCAACCUGGAGAGGCCAGAUGAUACUGCUGUGGCUAGAGUCCGGUAGGGGAGCGUGGAAUUCCCGGUGUAGCGGUGGAAUGCGCAGAUAUCGGGAGGAACACCAGUGGCGAAGGCGGCGCUCUGGGCCGGAACUGACGCUGAGGAGCGAAAGCAUGGGUAGCAAAC
rnacentral:rRNA from 1 species